UACGAAGGUCCCAAGCGUUAUCCGGAUUUAUUGGGUUUAAAGGGUGCGUAGGCGGGUUAUUAAGUCAGUGGUGAAAGCCUACAGCUUAACUGUAGAACUGCCAUUGAUACUGAUGAUCUUGAGUAUGAUUGAGGUUGGCGGAAUGUGUCAUGUAGCGGUGAAAUGCUUAGAUAUGACACAGAACACCGAUUGCGUAGGCAGCUCACUAAACUGUAACUGACGCUGAGGCACGAAAGCGUGGGGAGCAAACAGG
rnacentral:rRNA from 1 species